UGACGAGCUCCCCUGUUGCCCGUUGGCCAAUCAAAAGCAGCAGCUAGCCCGCUCGGCCGGCUAAUUUUGCCCUACAGCUCCCGGAGCGCCGGAGCCGGUUCGGUCCGCGUCACAACAACACCUGCCCGAGGUGGCGACUCACUCACCCGAUCUCUAGUUGUUUUUUUUUUUCUUUUACACUUUUGUGCUGCCAAGUGCCUUUUAUCCCUGUUCCUCCCCCCGCUGCUGCUGCUAGCCGCUAGCGGCUAACUUGCGAGCCAACUCAUCGCCUGCCCUGAAGCCUCCAAGCUCACUUUGCAGCCGAGCGGAGCAGACCGGAGCGGGAUGAGCCAUGGCAUCGGUUCGGGUGGCUGUCCGGGUCCGACCCAUGAGCAGACGGGAGAAGGACUUGAUGGCCAAGCGCAUCAUCAAGAUGGACGGCAGCAAAACCUCCAUCACCAACCCGAAGCUCUCUGAAGGCAUCGCGGGGGAGUUGAUGAGGGAUUCCACCAAAACCUUUACCUACGACUUCUCCUACGACUCGGCCGACUCGAGGAGCUCCAGCUUUGUCACUCAGGAGAAGGUCUUCCGAGAUUUGGGCCGGGACGUGCUGCAGGCGGCGUUUGAGGGCUACAACGCCUGCGUUUUCGCUUACGGUCAGACGGGAUCCGGGAAGUCGUACACCAUGAUGGGAAAUCCGGGAGACGCAGGUCUGAUCCCGCGGAUCUGCGAGGGUUUAUUUAGUCGGAUCGCGGACGCCAUUCGACGGGACGAAGCUUCUUUCCGCACGGAAGUCAGCUACCUAGAGAUCUACAACGAGCGCGUUAGGGAUCUUCUGAGGAGGAAGUCCACUCAGACGUACAACCUGAGAGUGAGGGAGCACCCCAAGGACGGACCUUAUGUGGAAGAUCUGUCUAAGCACCUGGUGCAGAACUACAGCGAUGUGGAGGAGCUGAUGGAGGCGGGAAACGUCAAGCGCACCACCGCCAGCACCGUCAUGAACGACGUCAGCAGCCGCUCGCACGCCAUCUUUACUGUCAACUUCACGCAGGCCAAGUUUGACGCAGAGAUGCCCAGCGAGAUGCUGAGCAAGAUCCACCUGGUGGAUCUGGCCGGUAGCGAGCGGGCCGACUCCAGCGGCGCCACCGGAGUCCGGCUCAAGGAAGGCGGCAACAUCAACAAGUCUCUCGUCACGCUCGGCAACGUCAUCUCCGCCCUCGCCGACCUUCCUCGGGACGCCAACACGAAGAAGAAGUGCCUCUUCGUGCCCUACAGAGACUCUGUGUUAACGUGGCUGCUGAAGGACAGUCUGGGCGGGAACUCCAAGACCAUCAUGAUCGCCACCGUGUCGCCCGCCGGCGUCAACUACGGCGAGACGCUCAGCACGCUACGCUACGCCAACAGGGCCAAGAACAUCAUCAACAAGCCCACCGUCAAUGAGGACGCCAACGUCAGGCUCAUCAGGGAACUGCGGGCGGAAAUCGCACGACUCAAAGCUCUGCUGGUUCAGGGCAACCAGAUCGCUCUGCUGGACUCGCCCACUGCGCUCAGCAUGGAGGAGAAGCUGCACCAGAACGAAGCCAGAGUGCUGGAGCUGACAAAAGAGUGGACCAACAAGUGGAAUGAGACGCAGAACAUCUUGAAGGAGGAGACGCUGGCACUGCGGAAGGAGGGCAUCGGCGUGGUCCUGGAUUCUGAGCUUCCUCACCUCAUCGGCAUCGACGACGACCUCCUCAGCACCGGCAUCAUCCUCUACCACCUCAAGGAAGGACGAACGUGCGUGGGCAGAGAGGACGCGGCCACGGAGCAGGACAUUGUUCUUCACGGCGUGGAGGUAGAGAGCGAGCACUGCGUGUUUGAGAACGGUGGAGGCACGGUGACGUUGGUGCCACUGGGCGCCGCGCCGUGCUCUGUCAACGGGACGAACGUCGCCGGGCCCGUGCGGCUCAAUCAAGGUGCCGUCAUCCUGCUGGGCAGAAGCAACAUGUUCCGCUUCAACCACCCCAAAGAGGCGGCCAAGCUCCGCGAGAAACGCAAGGUGACAUUUCGCACCGACUUCAUCUUGCACGGGCGGCGCUGCCACGCGUGUCCAGUCCCGUCUCCGACACGCGUCCGAUCUGGUCUCCUUCAGAGCGACCUGUCGUCCACCUUCAGCCUGUCCAUGAGCGACCUGUCCCGGUCCUGCGAGAACCUCUCUGCUGUCCUGCUCUACAACCCGGGUGACUUGGGUCCCGCCUUCCUCAGGUUGGAGUUCGAGCGUCAGCAGCGUGAGGAGCUUGGCAAGUUGGAGGUGACGAGGCGUCUGAUCAAGGAGAUGGAGGUCAAGCAGCAGAGUGAGAAGGCCGAGCUGCAGCGCCUCCAGCAGGAGGUGGAGAGCCAGCGCAAGGAGUCUGAGGAGGUGCGCCAGAGGAUCCUAUGCCAGGAGGAAAGCCUGCGCCGCCGCAGUCAGGACAUCGAGAGCCGUCUCCGAGACUUCCUGGAGGAGAAGCAACGCUUUGAGGAGGACAGACAAUCUGACCUCCUGAUGGAGGGACUCCAGCUGCGGCAAGAGGAGCAAGAUGAGCAGAUCUACCGAGAACUAGAGAAGCUGAAGCGGGAGCGCGAGGUGCAGCGAGGCCGUUUGGAGGUGGAGAGGCGCCGCCUGGAGGAGCAGGAGGGCCAGGAGCUGAGCCUGGUAGGGAGGCUAGAGGAGCAGCUGAGAGACAAACGACAGAUCGCCGUCACUUUGAUGAGCCACGAGGACGCCCAACGCCUGGAGGAGGACAAGCGGGAGCUAGCGGCUAUCAGAGAGGCACUCCUGUGCGCCAAGGAGGCUAGAGGCCAGGUGAGAGGGGGGGCCGCAGGGGAGGUCGGAGUGACGUCCAGCGACGAGGCCGCCGCCUACGCUCGCUACUUUGACUUCAAGGCCUCCCAGGUGCAGGAGCUUGGCCGCCUGGGGUCGAGUCUUCAACGACAGAGGGUGCGCGUGGAGAAGGAGAUGGCCAGCGAGCGAGCCACGCUGCAUCUCCUUGAGGAACGCCUGACGGAGGCUCAAGAGAAGAAGCGACAGGACAUGUGCCAGGAGGAGCAGCAGCUCCUCAAGCAGACAGAGCAUCGGCUGAAGUCCGUUGAGCUCCAGCUGAGCGCCCUGGAUGCCAAGCUUCUGCCCGCGCUGGCUGAGGAGAAGCGGCGAGCCGAGGAGGCGCUGGAACGCAACGGGAACUACCCAAGUCCUCCUGGCUUGGACAACUUCCUGUACCAAGUAGAGAAAGAGCUGGAAGACAAGGAGGAAAAGCUGAAGGUCCACCGGGCCAGUGCCCAGCAACUGCAGCAGCUGCAGGAGACAUACUGCUUCACGGCCAACGUGGCUCGGCAGGAGGACAAGGUGAGGCGCAAGGAGAAGGAGAUCCUGGAGGCCAAGGAGAAGCAGCAGCGGGAGGCGAUGGAGCAGGCGGUGGCACGCCUUGAGAGGAGACACUCGGUCCGAAAAUGCGACCGCUCCCUGGAGACAGACGCCCAGGAGAACCCGGUACAGAACCUGAGGACGGGUCCAGACCUGGAUCAGCAUAGGGUAAAGCGAGAGAUCCAAAGGUUCGGGCAGCGCAUCAGCGAAGGGGAGGAGAACAUCUCAACUCACGUGGACGACAUCACGCCGCAUGGCAGUGUGCCGGCAGAUCACGUGCGGACUCUCCACCCGCACAUUCCCCUCUCCGACGACAGGAUCAACGCGUACAUCGAGGAGGAGGUUCAGCGGAGGCUACGCCAGAUAAACCUCUUCAACGGAACCAAUACUGGAAUGGACCUGUCGCUCUCCUGCGAGUCGCUACAGGAGGAGAACCCUGGCGAGAGAUCAACUGAGGAGGAUAAGCAGCUGCUAAACAACAAUGAUCUACAAAAGUCCCAACAUCUGAAGCUUCCUGAAGCUUGGGGAAAAAGAAGAGGCGCCAUCCAUGUUUGACUUGUGGGUCAAUAGAUCAAUGAAAUGGUGGCCGAGAGCAGAAAACCCGAGUCCAGUGGACCCAACGAGCACCAGAACCAGGUUGGAAGGGAAAAAAACGUGGUCAUGUGACCUGGCUGACACCCAGCUGAGCUGCCACCGAACCAGAACAUCAUCUCCUGAGUGGAAGGAGCAGCAUGCUAACAGGAGGUCCAUUAUGGGCCGCUUGAAAGGGACUUUGUCGACUUAAUUCAAAGCGUCGGCGUGCGUGACAUCAAGGACUUGGUGGUGGACUAUGUCACCCAAAAGUCCAAAGAACUUCGACUUUUGCCAAUCAGUAGACCCAUCAAAAGUUCCACGAAAAGAACUGUCCAAAAAGACAGUGGAACAACAAUCGAAAGAACCACAUGAGCCAUCAAGAGAACCUCAAGAAGAACAAUCGAAAGAACCUCAAGAACAGUCAAAAGAACCACAGCAAGAACCAUCAAAAGAACUACGAGAAGAACAGUCAAAAGAACGAUCAAAAGAUCCACAAACAUCAGUAGAACCAUCACACGAGGCAAAAGAACCACCACCAAAAAGAACACUAGAACAACAAACAAAAGAACGAUUGAAAGAACCAUUAGAAGAAAGAGCAGUAGAGUCAUUAAAAGGACCACCAGAGCAACCAUCAAAAGAACAAUCCAAAGAACCAUCAAUAGAACCGCUGGAAGAACUGUCAAAAGAACCAUUAGAAGAAAAAUCUGAAAGCUUAAAAGAAUAAUAAGAAAAAACACUAGCACAAUCUAAAGAACCACAAGAAGAGCCACAAAAAGAACCAGCGUCGUCAGAAGAAGAAUCUAGUUGAUGUGGACUCAGAAACCAAAGUGAUCUUGUUGAAGGUGACAAAUGGGGGAGGCCUUCCUGUUGCUGUCGAUGGCGUCUCUUGUGACCUGUCAGAAGGUUCCGUGCCUCGCGUGGCGAGCCGGCAUCCUCACAUCUUCCGUCAGCGUCUGGUUCUUAUGCCGCUGCCCUUGGACUGCCUCCACUCCACUCCCCGGCAGGAAGUGCUGCAGACGUUGGAGUUUCUGGUGCCGUCCUUGCUGGCAGGCCUGCCUCUGGGCGACCAUCUCUACCUGGUCCACGGAAACAUAUCCGCCACCGAUAAGCCGUCGCUGGGCGCCGUCCGCCCUUUGCUGUACACCAGCGCCGCCUGUGCUCACACCGACGGCAUCCUGCAGGUCCUUCUGACCGACACCCACGUAGUUCUCCUUCAUAGGAACCGCCGCCCGGGUCCCUUAAACCGCACUUCCGCAUCGUGGAAGUGCGUCGCUGCCGGGACGUCGGCUGCGUGCUGCUGAGGUGGAGUCACGCGGGCCCGCUGGUGCACGCGCCCGUUCAGUUCGCCCCAUCGCGAGGAACCCGUCCUUCAGAAGGGCCCCGCCCAUCGCGAGCGCUCGUGGAAGCUGCGGCUCUGCUGUGCGCCGGUGGCUGCCGUCUUGGUUGGUCAGCUGUCCGGCUGACCACGCCCACCUCAAACAACUCAUUGAUUCGAUUUGAGUUGAAUGGUUCUCCAUAAAAAGGGAAGAAAAAAUGUAUUUCCAUCAACAGGAUGACUCGUUUCUUGACGUAUUAGACAAAAAAACAACCACUCGCUUGUCUUUCCAUUGUGGCGGAAGGUACCCAAGAAACUGAUGAGCACUGCAGCCAUUUUGUUACCAGUCCUUUCCCGUUGGCGCGCGACAUCUCGGCGCCUCCGCCGCGCCGCCGGGAGCCGAUCGAAAUCGAGAUCCCUCGCUACGUCCUCAGAGGUCAAGGCAAGGACGAGCACUUUGAGUUCGAGGUCAAGGUG